UUUGUACUCCCUCCGUCCCAAAAUUCUUGUCUUAAAUUUGUCUAAAUAUGGAUGUAUCUAGUUACAUUUUAGUGUUAGAUACAUCCGUAUCUAAACAAAUGUAAGACAAGAAUUUUGACCAUAGAUUUACCUA
rfam:Triticum aestivum genome assembly, contig: Triticum_aestivum_CS42_TGACv1_scaffold_515248_6BS